AUUGAACGCUGGCGGCAUGCCUUACACAUGCAAGUCGAACGGCAGCGGACCUUCGGGUGCCGGCGAGUGGCGAACGGGUGAGUAAUAUAUCGGAACGUACCUUUCAGUGGGGGAUAACGUAGCGAAAGUUACGCUAAUACCGCAUAUUCUGUGAGCAGGAAAGCAGGGGAUCGCAAGACCUUGCGCUGAUUGAGCGGCCGAUAUCAGAUUAGCUAGUUGGUGAGGUAAAGGCUCACCAAGGCGACGAUCUGUAGCGGGUCUGAGAGGAUGAUCCGCCACACUGGAACUGAGACACGGUCCAGACUCCUACGGGAGGCAGCAGUGGGGAAUCUUAGACAAUGGGCGCAAGCCUGAUCUAGCCAUGCCGCGUGAGCGAUGAAGGCCUUAGGGUUGUAAAGCUCUUUCAGGGGGGAAGAUAAUGACUGUACCCCCAGAAGAAGCCCCGGCUAACUCCGUGCCAGCAGCCGCGGUAAUGUACAGU
rnacentral:rRNA from 1 species